rnacentral:sRNA from 3 species
CCCGUAGCCAUUUUGGCUCAAG